rnacentral:lncRNA from 10 species
CAGGUGUAUCCCUGGUGGUCUGUAGCAAAGGAACUUGAAGUUUUAUCAGCCUCCUGAAGCCGAGAGCCUCAGUGCAAAACGUAUAUGUAUUUUUAAAAAGGAUGGCCCGUACUUUGGAACCACUAGCAAAGAAGAUCUUUAAAGGAGUUUUGGUAGCCGAACUUGUAGGCGUUUUUGGAGCAUAUUUUUUGUUUAGCAAGAUGCACACAAGCCAAGAUUUCAGGCAAACAAUGAGCAAGAAAUAUCCCUUCAUCUUGGAAGUUUAUUACAAAUCCACUGAGAAGUCUGGAAUGUAUGGAAUCAGAGAGCUAGAUCAAAAAACAUGGUUGAACAGCAAAAAUUAGAUACAGAGUCUCGCUUUGUCGCCAGGCUGGAGUACAGGGGCGUGAUCUCGGCUCACUGCAACCUCUGCCUUCUGGGUUCAAGCGAUUCUCCUGCCUCAGCCUCCCAAGUAGCUGGGCCUACAAGUGCAUGCCACCACGCCAAGCUAAUUUUUGUAUUUUUAGUAGAGAUGGGGUUUCAUCAUGUUGGCCAGGAUGGUCUUGAUCUCUUGACCUUGUGAUCUACCUGCCUUGGCCUCCCAAAGUGCUGGGAUUACAGGCGUGAGCCACUGCGCCCAGCCAUUUUUGAUUUUUUGUAGAGAUGGGGUCUCAUUGUGUUGCCCAGGCUGAUUAAAGUUUCUAUAAGGUAUGUUUAUUCUUAAGGAUAUCUACUCUAACACCUGUAAAUGUAGGGUGAUCAAUUAGUAAAUUAAUAAAUCUGAAUCAAUUAAUAAAUCUGUUUAAAAUUC